GUCCACUGGGUGUCUCUCGCUACCAUUACAAAUGUGUUCGAGCUGCGCGCUUCGCCCAAUUUCCUGUUCGUCAUGAAGGUUCCGAAGUCUCACCAGAAACGCGUCUGUGACUUGGUGAACAAGCAAGCACGUGGUGGUCCUGGAAUACGAGCUCCUCCGGUUCCUCCAGCGGUGUCGGGAGCUGGGCUGAGAUGAGUCGGGGUGUGACGCCGCCCCCAAAAACUGUGGACCGCAGCUGAAAGUCACCGCUGGCUGAAGCUCAUUCAGGCUGUCAGACUGGCGGAGGACGGAGACACAUCACAGGAGUCAGCGACGGCACCGGAGGAAAGGGGUUUUAGUUCUCUCUCACAUGAGACUGGGCAUGAUAUCACCAGUGGAGCUGAGGCCGUAGCCACAUCUGGCUGCUCACUGGAGGAAGCAGGACCUCAUCUACUUCAGUGAAGAACGAUGGGGGUGACAGAAGAAGAGAGGGACAGUGUGGCAAAGCUGUUUGAAAACUUUGUCCAGGCUUCGACCUGUAAAGGAACUCUGCAAGCGUUUAACUUGCUGUGCACACAGCUGGAUCUUGACCCUGCAGAGCACAGCAGCUUCUACAGCAGCCUAAAAGCAAAGGUCACCUGCUGGAAGGCCAAAGCUCUGUGGACUAAAUUGGACAAGCGGAUGUCUCAUAAGGAAUACAAGAAAGGUCAAGCCUGUAUGGACAACAAGUGCCUUAUCAUCGGCGGUGGACCCUGUGGUCUGCGUACGGCUAUUGAGCUGGCCUUGAUGGGUGCCAAAGUAGUUGUGAUUGAGAAAAGAGACUCAUUCUCCAGGAACAAUGUGCUGCACCUUUGGCCCUUCACUAUCCAUGACCUGAGGAGUCUCGGAGCCAAAAAGUUCUAUGGCAAAUUCUGUGCGGGAGCCAUUGAUCACAUCAGUAUUCAGCAGCUGCAGUUAAUGCUACUGAAGAUCGCCCUCAUCGUUGCAGUCGAAUUCCACAUCAACGUGGAGUUUGUAAAGCUCAGAGAACCUGCCGAAGAUCAAGAAAAUGAAGGACUUGGGUGGAGAGCUGCAAUCCGACCUGCUGAUCACCCUGUGGCCAACUAUGAGUUUGACGUUGUGGUCGGGGCUGAUGGGCGCAGGAAUACCCUGGAAGGUUUCAAAAGGAAGGAGUUUCGGGGUAAACUGGCCAUUGCCAUCACUGCCAACUUCAUCAACAGGAACACCACAGCAGAGGCCAAAGUAGAGGAGAUCAGCGGGGUGGCUUUUAUCUUCAACCAGAAGUUCUUUCUUGACCUCAAAGAAGAAACAGGUAUCGACUUGGAGAAUAUUGUUUACUACAAAGACAACACGCAUUACUUUGUGAUGACUGCAAAGAAGCAAAGUUUGUUAGAUAAAGGCGUUGUUAUCAACGAUUAUGUCGAUACACAGAUGCUGUUGAGCAGUGAAAACGUCAACCAGGAAGCUCUGCUGUGCUACGCCCGAGAGGCUGCUGACUUUGGCACCAACUACCAACUUCCCACUCUGGAUUUUGCCUUGAACCACUGUGGGCAGCCAGAUGUGGCAAUGUUUGACUUUACAAGCAUGCACGCUUCAGAGAAUGCUGCUCUCGUGCGGGAGAGAUGUGGACACCAACUGCUGGUUGCUCUGGUUGGCGACAGCCUUUUGGAGCCCUUUUGGCCAAUGGGGACAGGAUGUGCCCGAGGUUUCAUGGCUGCCUUCGAUACGGCGUGGAUGGUGAAGAGUUGGGCCCAGGGUCAGACGGUUCUGGAGGUGCUGGCUGAAAGGGAAAGCAUCUACAGAUUGCUACCUCAGACGACCCCGGAAAACAUCGUCAAAAACUUUGACCAGUACACAAUAGAUCCUUCAACACGUUACCCAAACCUCAAGUCAGCGUGGGUGAGGCCACAUCAGGUUCGUCAUUUAUACAUAAGCGGUGAACUGAAUUCAUGCUCGCUGGAGCGUGCUGCUUCCAUUCGACGCCCUGUGAACCUCUCCAGACGAGAGUCUGAGGUGCGGCCAACAAGGCUUCUCACCUGGUGCCAGAGACAGUUGGAAGGCUACAAGAACGUCACAGUCUCAGACCUGACCCUGUCUUGGAAGAGUGGGCUCGCCCUGUGUGCCCUCAUCCACAGGUUUAAACCUCAACUCAUAGAUUUUGAUUCACUGAGUGAGGAUGACACUGCUGCAAACCUGCAGUUGGCUUUUGACGUCAGUGAACGCGAGUUUGGGAUCCGACCUUUGGCCUCUGUGACGGAGCUAUGUGACGGACUUGAGCUGGACAAGGCGAAGAUGAUCAGCUACCUCUCCAAAUUUUAUGAGCUCUUCCGCGGCACGCCUCUGCCUGUGACAGCAGGAUCCCGAAGGGGGGAUGAAAACAAUGAAGAUUACCCAUCCAAGGAAGUCAGAGGCAAUAAUAACGUGCUGAAUCUUGCUCUGCCCAGGAAGCGAGUGCCUAAGGAAAAGUCAGAAAGUGCAGAUCUCAUUUACAAAAGACGACGGAAGUUCAACAGCUGUUUGGAAGAGGCCACCAACUUGUCCAGCAACAGUUCUGCUGUGCAAGAACCCAGAGAGAACAAAGUGCGCUCCAUUUCAAGUCAGCUUCUGGCCAAGUUUGAGUGCACGCCGAGCCAAACACUACGAAAACAGUCAGAUGAUGAGACUCCUUUACCGCUUCAUACCCUGACUGAGAGUCGGCACAAAUCCCCCCCUCCUCUCCCACCCAGAGCCUCUCCUGAGAUGCAGUUUGAAAUCAGUAUCAGAGCUGCAGCAGAACACUUAGUUCGAGUGCCACCUAGGACCUUACCAAAGCCCGAACUCCAGCCUCAGUUGCUGCAUUCAAUUUCUGUAGUGAGGCUCAGACAUGUAGAGCCGGCCCCGACCCAACCUGAGAAAUCAGCCCCCGAUCCCCCUCCUCCCCCCCUCCACUCGGCCGUCCAGGUCAUGUCAAGAAUCCUUCAGCGCCUCAGGGAGGUGGACGAGCACAUCUCUGAGAAAAAGGCUCAGGCGCAGCAGACCCGAGAGUUUCACUCUAAGAGUAUCAGAGAAAAAGCUGUUCAUCUCAGCGGCAUGUUCUCAGGAGACAACUGUGCUGUUAUCAAGGGAAACUCAGUGCGGAGGUCGCUGCCUCAGUCCGUCGACAAGUGCCACUUGUGCAAGAGACGAGUUUUCAUGGUGGAGAGGAUUAGUGCUGAUGGACUCUUCUUCCACAGAGAGUGUUUCAAGUGCACGGCCUGCAGGUCCGCCAUCCGCCAGGGGUCUCACUCCUACGACUCUGAGCAGGGAAAGCUUUACUGCAAACUUCACUUUGAUCAACGGAACAGUGUGACAAACUCACCCAGGAGUUUCUCACUGCGCAGGAAGCACCUCAGGGCUGCAGUAGAUGGUUGUGAGGACUCUGAGGAGCAGACCAGAGCACUGAACCUGCAGAGUGAAGCUGCAGCAGGUACCUUCAGCUCCUUCAUCUGGAAACAGCUGAGCUGGCCCCUGAGGGUGACGCGCGUGGUGUGUAGCGCCCCCCAGUACGUGUCUCUCCAGGUGCAGAGCGCAGCACGAGCCCUGGUGGCUCACGUCAGGCAGAACUCCCAGGACUACGUUUUCCUUUACGAGCUGAUGAGCUUGAGUCUGCCGCUGCUGUACGUGCUGAGAGAGGUUCUGCUGCAGAUGCUGGCCGAGGCUGUGCCUGAGGCGCGGAGCCCCUUCCAGCCCCUGCUCAUCUGGGUGCAGGAGCAAAUGGGCCAAAGGCUCAUCUAAUAUUCAUCCAGAAUUAAGGUCCAAAGAGUCAAGAGUCCGACUGUCCUCGCACACGCACCUUCUGAUGUUUACACGUGUUUGGAUGACGAUGCUGGGGAGGUUCAGCAGUAAAUAAACGUCGGGUCAGGGUCAGAGUUGUAAAUGGCCAAAACCAAAAGUGCCUUAAUCUCACUGCCAUUCUAUGCAGCGGGACGGUCAUUCACGGCUGAAUUCCUAUUUUAGGUUCUGAAGAUGGAUUUAAGAGUUUUAUACACUUGAUUUAAGAGCUGACUCAAGCCAAGCACAGGGAGACUUGCACAGGGAUUCUCUAGUUUACUUGGCAGUACAUUAUUCUGUUGGCAAUAGACGAUAAACUGGGUUACAAUAAGGAAGUGACCUUUACAUUAUGACCUUCGAGUCACUUCUGCACCACCAAAACUGUGGGUUGUCACGGUGGGUUUCUGGUCUACUUUCAAAAAUAGCCCAAGAUGCAACAGCAAGGGGUCAUGGGAAGGAAACGCUGAUGUGGUCAGAUCCAACAGACCAGUCGAUUUUAGUUGAGAAGCGAGAAGAAAUCGCGACGGUUCAUCAUGAGACAGUGUUACCUCAGACUCGUGAUCCAAGAUAGAUGUGAUUCACCAGAUGAUGACACACUUCCACUUCACUGCAGUUCCAACACACUCAUGCCAGCAGACACACAAACAUAUGAAUCACAAAGCAGCCAGUUGCAACAGUGUGUUUGUUUCAGUCUGUACACAUCCCCUUCAGGUCACAGUCACUGUUACAGACCACCAUCAAUGACAACUGACUGAGUUGAAGGAGCAUAAAUAAUUCACCUCCCUGUCAAAGACAUGUUCCAUUCUACAUCAUGGAGGUGAUUGUGAUAUAAUUUUAACAUGAAACACAUGUCAAGUAUGAUGAAUUCAUCUUCAUUUUGUAGUUUUAAUGUGAUCACUCGACUCCAACUCUUGCUGUGUUCUGGUUUUCACUUGUGUGUUUUCAUCGUUUCCAUAUAGUUUCACGUGACGCCGCCGACUGUUGGAGUAGUUCACCUUUGCUGCCACCUACUGGCGCUUUUGUAACAUUACAUGAUGACCCUGGCAUCCUGUAGGUCAACCCAUUUUGAUCACCUUGACUCAGUAAAUAUUUCCAUAUUUACUGAAAGUUCUUGAGUGUUGUAUGUCUGGCUUAAGAAAAAUGUCUCCUGCUGGACUGUGGCACGACGUUCUAUCGAUGCUCACCAGGCACUUUAGACUUUUAGUGUUCGACAUUGUUUGUGUUAUGACAACUACCUGAUAUUAAACUGAAUACCAAAGAUGUUUUUAUCGAAAUGGAAUGUUCUGAACAUGAGCGACAGGUGUGUCUGGAAAACGCUGGUGAAUGUCGGUAUGUGUUUUAUUUAUUGAGAAUGUCUCAGAUGACUCUGAUGUUUCUUCCCAUCAGCUGCGCUCUUUUACGACGAGUGCGAGCCGAGAGAUUGUCACGAUCCAGAACACUGGUGAAUGGACUGUGUUUACGGGAAGAGCUCAUAGACCAUCAGCAACUUCUUGAGACAAAAGGAUCAUGAGGAAAUGUGAGGCUUCUGACCCGACGACUUCAUCACUGUGGAGUGAAGUUGCCCGUGAUCCUGCUACUGAGAUUAUUGUAUUGUCCUCUGGAGACCCUUUUUCUGUGUUCAGACCAGCGAGGGCAACAGUGUCUUAAAUGUAAAGCAUCACACUGUGAACUGAGUGUGUGACUCUUGACCUGUCGUGCCGUGUUGGUUUGCACAAAUAGUCAAAACUCAUGACAUGGCAACCUGGACAAGGUGUACAUUUUGUCUUUGAAAGCUCACAGCAAAUGCAAAUACAACAUUUUAAGUCACAACACAUCUGGAAAAGCCUCAACAAACUCUCUUGUCAUGUAGCGGCUUAACGUUGCAUCUGAAUUUGUUGUGGCUUUUGCAGGUGUGUUGCGAGUUAAUGCUGUGUUUCGGUGUUUGGAUUUGUUGCAGCGUUUUGCGUUUGAGCGCUCCAGGCCACCGUGUGUUACAUCACUCCAUCGCCAUUCAAUUUUCAACAUCAUUGACAUUUUCUGUCUCCUUCCCGUGCGUUUAAUAAAAAAAUAAGA